rnacentral:RNase_P_RNA from 2 species
UCCGUCAACCGCUCCAUCGCUCCGGAAAUCAUCCGGUGAGGAAAGUCCGGACAACGUAGAGCACCACACCACCUAACGGGUGGGUCCCGGGCGACCGGGAACAGAGAGUGUCACAGAAAAUAACCGCCCCGGGUUCUCGGGGUAAGGGUGAAAACGUGCGGUAAGAGCGCACGGCGCUCCCGGGCAACCGGGAGGGCGGACAAACCUUGUGGGUUGAAAUGCCACGUAUAUCCCGACCCGCCGCCCUUCGGGGCACAGGGCCUGGUUGCUCGCCGGGUUGCCGCAAGGCAGUCGGGAGGGGUAGGCAGCUCGAGGCCGGUGGUGACGCCGGUCCCAGAUAAAUGGUGGAGGUUCCGGUUUUCCGGAAUACAGAAUCCGGCUUACAGGUUGACGGGGAUU